rnacentral:rRNA from 1 species
GACGAACGCUGGCGGCGUGCUUAACACAUGCAAGUCGAACGAGAAUCUGUGGAAAGAGGAUUCGUCCAAUUGAAGCAGAGGACAGUGGCGGACGGGUGAGUAACGCGUGAGGAACCUGCCUUUCAGAGGGGGACAACAGUUGGAAACGACUGCUAAUACCGCAUGACACAUCGGAGUCGCAUGGCUCUGAUGUCAAAGAUUUAUCGCUGAAAGAUGGCCUCGCGUCUGAUUAGCUAGUUGGUGAGGUAACGGCCCACCAAGGCGACGAUCAGUAGCCGGUCUGAGAGGAUGAACGGCCACAUCGGGACUGAGAUACGGCCCAGACUCCUACGGGAGGCAGCAGUGGGGAAUAUUGGGCAAUGGGGGAAACCCUGACCCAGCAACGCCGCGUGAAGGAAGAAGGCUUUCGGGUUGUAAACUUCUUUUGUCAGGGACGAGUAGAAGACGGUACCUGACGAAUAAGCACGGCUAACUACGUG